rnacentral:rRNA from 1 species
UACGAACCGUCCAAACGUUACUCGGAAUCACUGGGCUUAAAGGGUGCGUAGGCCGCGCGGAGGGUGGGAUGUGAAAUCCCCCGGCUCAACCGGGGAAUAGCGUCCCAAACCGCCGUGCUCGAGGGAGACAGAGGUGAGCGGAACUGAUGGUGGAGCGGUGAAGUGCGUUGAUAUCAUCAGGAACACCAGUGGCGAAAGCGGCUCACUGGGUCUUUCCUAACGCUGAGGCACGAAAGCUAGGGGAGCGAACGGG